UGCAACUGUGUCAAAUUCAUUGCUCGCCUAUACCAUGGUGAGGAUUGGUCCAAACAGUUGCCACAGUAAAUAUCUGUAGCUCAUGGGCCACGGAGCUCUUUGUGGGCUCUGGGGAUAGUUUUGCUGCAGACAGGC